GCGAGAGCUGCGUGGGCACCCGGGCGAGAGCUGCGUGGGCACCCAGGAGAGAGCUGCGUGGGCACCCAGGGGAGCGGGAUGUUUCUGGUUAAUGCACCUUAUGGGCUGCAGUCCCGGACUUGCCUGUGCAUGGGAAAUCAGGUCGUAUCAUCCCCACAGACCUCUGAGGGUCUCUGCAUGGACCAUCUGCUUUUGCAGACCCUCCUUUGAGGGGAAAUAAAUUUUCUUCAAAAAUGA